rnacentral:rRNA from 1 species
GACGAACGCUGGCGGCGUGCUUAACACAUGCAAGUCGAACGGAAAGGCCCUGCUUUUGUGGGGUGCUCGAGUGGCGAACGGGUGAGUAACACGUGAGUAACCUGCCCUUGACUUUGGGAUAACUUCAGGAAACUGGGGCUAAUACCGGAUAGGAGCUCCUGCUGCAUGGUGGGGGUUGGAAAGUUUCGGCGGUUGGGAAUGGACUCGCGGCUUAUCAGCUUGUUGGUGUGGUAGUGGCUUACCAAGGCUUUGACGGGUAGCCGGGCUGAGAGGGUGACCGGCCACAUUGGGACUGAGAUACGGCCCAGACUCCUACGGGAGGCAGAAGUGGGGAAUAUUGCGCAAUGGGCGGAAGACUGAUGCAGAAACGCCGCGUGCGGGAUGACGGCCUUCGGGUUUUAAACCGCUUUCGCCUGUGACGAAGCGUGAGUGACGGUAAUGGGUAAAGAAGCACCGGCUAACUACGUG